rnacentral:rRNA from 1 species
UCAGAUUUGAUAUGGCUCAGGACGAACGCUGGCGGCGUGCCUAACACAUGCAAGUCGAGCGGAGACAGUGAGUAGCUUGCUAUGAGCUGUUUUAGCGGCGGACGGGUGAGUAACGCGUGAGCAACCUUUCCCAGACAGGGGAAUAACACACCGAAAGGUGUACUAAUACCGCAUAAGACCACGGAAUCACAUGGUUCUGAGGUAAAAGAUUUAUCGGUUUGGGGUGGGCUCGCGUCCGAUUAGGUAGUUGGUGAGG